CGUACAGAUGUUGAACAUCAUUUAACUUGCACAUAAUCUUUACUAAGGAGAUUCUAUAAGUCAUUUUUGUAGUUCAUUCUAUUGUCUUGUCUUCUGUUUAUGCUGCACAAUGAUGCAGUGAAAAGAAGAAAGGGAUUUUUCUUAGCGGCAGACAGUCCACAGGAUAAGACUGUUGAAGUUGGACCUGGAAAUCUGAAGAUGUCCUUUUCUCGAACCACAGGACAGCUCAAACGGAUGUAUAAUUCAAGAACUGGGGUAAGUUGUAUCUUGGUGGACCAAACUACGAAUUGUUGAUAUCAUCCACUUACACAUAGUGUCACAGUCUAUAUACCCAUUUUCCAGUGCAUAUAUUAAUAGAUGCAUGUGUAAAGAGGUGAUAACAUUUUACCAGGUUGAUGUACCGAUACAACAGAGCUUUCUCUGGUAUGGUUCAAUGGUAGAUACUCAGGUAAGUUCUCGCGGUACCCUGGAUUAGAAUAUCCAAAUUCUGUUGUGGUGCCAGUUGACAUUCCAAUUGUACCCUCUCUUGCAGUCUUCAGGUGCCUACAUUUUCCGGCCUAAUGGGGCACAACCAAAUGUUGUUUCAAGAUCAGUAAGAACAUUAUUUGGUUUGCUUCCUAUCUUGCCAUUCUCACUACACAGAAAUGUAAAUGUGGAAGAACACAUAAAAGUGAAAAAUUAAUAAGCUACUUCCAUCAACACCACAAAGCCUCAUCCAAAUUUAUGGAAUUUUGCCUGUGCAAUUUCCAAUAUAUUUUCUUUUUUUCCUCGCACCUUCUAAUCUCUUCCACUGUCUAUUAGUUGUGCAAACAUUUGGUAAUUACUUUGAUCUUCCUUUAUAUCUAUUAAAAUAUGUUAAUUUAAUUUGCAGGUGCCCAUUAAAAUUAUUCGUGGGCCAAUGGUUGAUGAAGUGCACCAACAAUUUAAUUCAUGGAUCUACCAGGUCAUCAAUCUUCCCGUUCAAUACCCCCUUCUGUCUAUAUACAUUAAGUGUAUAUGUACAAGUCCCUACACAUACACACCAGGGAAUAUCAACAUCAGUGUUGUGCAACAAUACAGGAUAUGUGUUUUCAUCUAGAGGGUUAAUUAUAUAAUUUGCAAGAUAUUGAAAAUAGAAACUUUAUAAUAGUUUCGGUGGCGUAUUAUCAUAACCGCUGCUUUUUCUUCAUAUUUUGAAGAUGCAUAAAUUUGUACAAGCAUUUUUCAUCUUCCAUCAAAUGGUUACUUUCAGGUUGUAGUGGCAUAUAAUCCUCUUGGAUGGAACCGAACUGACAUUAUUAGAAUACCAGUGAGUACAUAUUUGCUCCUUUUUUGUGGAUUUGGGAACAAGUGUGAUUCUAUUAAUUAUGUUAGUGAGGACCUGAUCAAAUGCCUAUUAUUAGUACACCUUAUCAGAUUUUAGUACCAUGAGCUCUGUCUUGACCUUCUUCUUUCCUAUUAACAUGCUAAUAAAAAGUACAAUAUUUUCCCUAAUUGUGAUUUUCAAAUACAAUACCUACCAGGUUAAUGAUGCUAAUCUUAUUGUCAAAGAUCCCUUGGGCAAUGCUAUCAAUGUGCAAUAUGUAAAUUUGGAUAAUGUUACAAGCAACUUAAGAAAAUUCUACACAGAGGCCUACUUGGGACAGUCAUCAAAGCGAGUACCCAGAUAUUGGCUUCUCUUUCAAGUAACUGUGCCACCACUAGGUUGGAACACUUACUUCAUUUCCCGAGCAGCUGGGAAAGGUACUUGUCUACUCCUUUGCCCUUGCUCUGCCUUAGGAGCGUACAGAUGUUGAACAUCAUUUAACUUGCACAUAAUCUUUACUAAGGAGAUUCUAUAAGUCAUUUUUGUAGUUCAUUCUAUUGUCUUGUCUUCUGUUUAUGCUGCACAAUGAUGCAGUGAAAAGAAGAAAGGGAUUUUUCUUAGCGGCAGACAGUCCACAGGAUAAGACUGUUGAAGUUGGACCUGGAAAUCUGAAGAUGUCCUUUUCUCGAACCACAGGACAGCUCAAACGGAUGUAUAAUUCAAGAACUGGGGU
rnacentral:lncRNA from 1 species